CAGUGGCCGGAAAAAACGGGCACAUCGCGUUCUGGCUGCCUUCGAACGCACAGAACGCGUUUUGGCUGUUUUUAAACGCUCGAGGGGUUUUAGUCGGUAGGUCCGAGGACUCCUUCCUCGGAAAUCCGACACUACCCAGUCGUACGGACGGCUGGGUGUCUUUUGAAGAUUUCCCCUCUUCCACGAAA
rfam:Agrilus planipennis Contig9880, whole genome shotgun sequence.